AACGAACGCUGGCGGCAUGCCUAACACAUGCAAGUCGAACGAGACCUUCGGGUCUAGUGGCGCACGGGUGCGUAACGCGUGGGAACCUGCCCUUAGGUUCGGAAUAACUCCCCGAAAGGGGUGCUAAUACCGGAUAAUGUCUUCGGACCAAAGAUUUAUCGCCUUUGGAUGGGCCCGCGUUGGAUUAGCUAGUUGGUAGGGUAAAAGCCUACCAAGGCGACGAUCCAUAGCUGGUCUGAGAGGAUGAUCAGCCACACUGGGACUGAGACACGGCCCAGACCCCUACGGGAGGAGGCAGUGGGGAAUAUUGGACAAGGGGCAAAAGCCUGAUCCAGCAAUGCCGGGUGGGUGAUGAAGGCCUUGGGGUUUUAAACCUCUUUUCCCCGGGAUGAUAAUGACGGUACCGGGAGAAUAAGCUCCGGCUAACUCCGU
rnacentral:rRNA from 1 species